rnacentral:rRNA from 1 species
CUACGGGUGGCAGCAGUGGGGAAUAUUGCACAAUGGGCGCAAGCCUGAUGCAGCCAUGCCGCGUGUGUGAAGAAGGCCUUCGGGUUGUAAAGCACUUUCAGCGGGGAGGAAGGCGUUAAGGUUAAUAACCUUGUCGAUUGACGUUACCCGCAGAAGAAGCACCGGCUAACUCCGUGCCAGCAGCCGCGGUAGUACGGAGGGUGCAAGCGUUAAUCGGAAUUACUGGGCGUAGAGCGCACGCAGGCGGUCUGUCAAGUCGGAUGUGAAAUCCCCGGGCUCAACCUGGGAACUGCAUUCGAAACUGGCAGGCUAGAGUCUUGUAGAGGGGGGUAGAAUUCCAGGUGUAGCGGUGAAAUGCGUAGAGAUCUGGAGGAAUACCGGUGGCGAAGGCGGCCCCCUGGACAAAGACUGACGCUCAGGUGCGAAAGCGUGGGGAGCAAACAGGAUUAGAUACCCUAGUAGUC